GGUGAACGCUGGCGGUAGGCCUAACACAUGCAAGUCGAACGGCAGCACAGUAAGAGCUUGCUCUUACGGGUGGCGAGUGGCGGACGGGUGAGGAAUACAUCGGAAUCUACUUUUUCGUGGGGGAUAACGUAGGGAAACUUACGCUAAUACCGCAUACGACCUACGGGUGAAAGCAGGGGAUCUUCGGACCUUGCGCGAUUGAAUGAGCCGAUGUCGGAUUAGCUAGUUGGCGGGGUAAAGGCCCACCAAGGCGACGAUCCGUAGCUGGUCUGAGAGGAUGAUCAGCCACACUGGAACUGAGACACUGUCCAGACUCCUACGGGAGGCAGCAGUGGGGAAUAUUGGACAAUGGGCGCAAGCCUGAUCCAGCCAUACCGCGUGGGUGAAGAAGGCCUUCGGGUUGUAAAGCCCUUUUGUUGGGAAAGAAAAGCAGCAGGUUAAUACCCCGCUGUUCUGACGGUACCCAAAGAAUAAGCACCGGCUAACUUCGUG
rnacentral:rRNA from 1 species